AGAGUUUGAUCCUGGCUCAGGACGAACGCUGGCGGCGCGCCUAAAACAUGCAAGUCGAACGAGAAGCCCGGGCUUGCCCGGGUGGACAGUGGCGAACGGGUGAGUAACACGUGAGGAACCUGCCCCGAAGAUCGGGACAACAUCGGGAAACCGUUGCUAAUACCGGAUGCCCUCGAAGAAUCGCAUGGUUCAUCGAGGAAAUGGAUUCCGCUUCGGGAUGGCCUCGCGGCCUAUCAGCUUGUUGGUGAGGUAAUGGCUCACCAAGGCUUCGACGGGUAGCUGGUCUGAGAGGAUGUCCAGCCACACUGGGACUGAGACACGGCCCAGACUCCUACGGGAGGCAGCAGUUAGGAAUCUUGCGCAAUGGACGAAAGUCUGACGCAGCGACGCCGCGUGCGGGAUGAAGGCCCUCGGGUUGUAAACCGCUUUCAGCAGGGACGAAAUUGACGGUACCUGCAGAAGAAGCCCCGGCCAACUACGUGCCAGCAGCCGCGGUAAU
rnacentral:rRNA from 1 species